CUAAGGAGCAUCUCCCAUGUCAGUGCGUCAUGUAGUUGGCGUUGCUGGUGGGCAGAGCCCGUUUAGUGGACAGUGUUUCGCUGCGGGAGCUCAUGGGUGGAUCACUGGCAAGUAUCCUCAGUCAGGCAGCGUCUCUUUUGUGGGGUGUUGUGGGGGUCUAGUCGACAUACUGUUGGGUCCUGAGGGAACACGCGUUUCGCGUUGUUUGCUCGGUGCUACAUGGACAUGGCCUGCUGGCCGGCGUCUCGCACAUAAGCCUUUGUUGUUUGGGGGUGGGUGUGGGUGUUGGUGUGAGUGGUGGGGUGUGUGUGUUGUUUGAGAACUGGACAGUGGACGCGAACAUCUUUAUUUUUUGUU
rnacentral:misc_RNA from 1 species